GAUCCUGGCUCAGGACGAACGCUGGCGGCGUGCCUAAUACAUGCAAGUAGAACGCUGAAGAGAGGAGCUUGCUCUUCUUGGAUGAGUUGCGAACGGGUGAGUAACGCGUAGGUAACCUGCCCUGUACCGGGGGACAACAGUUGGAAACGGCUGCUAAUACCGCAUAAGCGCACGGUUCCGCAUGGAACAGUGUGAAAAACUCCGGUGGUACAGGAUGGAUUCGCGUCUGAUUAGCCAGUUGG
rnacentral:rRNA from 1 species